rnacentral:rRNA from 1 species
UACGGGGGGGGGCAAGCGUUGUUCGGACUUACUGGGCGUAAAGGGUUCGUAGGUGGCCAACUAAGUCAGACGUGAAAUCCCUCAGCUUAACCGGGGAACUGCGUCUGAUACUGGACGGCUUGAGUUUGGGAGAGGGAUGCGGAAUUCCAGGUGUAGCGGUGAAAUGCGUAGAUAUCUGGAGGAACACCGGUGGCGAAGGCGGCAUCCUGGACCAACACUGACGCUGAGUGAGCGAAAGCCAGGGGAGCAAACGGG